rnacentral:rRNA from 1 species
GACGGAGGAUGCAAGUGUUAUCCGGAAUCACUGGGCGUAAAGCGUCUGUAGGUGGUUAAAUAAGUCAACUGUUAAAUCUUGAGGCUCAACUUCAAAAAUCGCAGUCGAAACUAUUAGACUAGAGUAUAGUAGGGGUAAAGGGAAUUUCCAGUGGAGCGGUGAAAUGCGUAGAGAUUGGAAAGAACACCAAUGGCGAAAGCACUUUACUGGGCUAUUACUGACACUGAGAGACGAAAGCUAGGGUAGCAAAUGGG